rnacentral:rRNA from 1 species
CUAUACAUGCAAGUCGAACGAGUUCUGAUUAUUGAAAGGUGCUUGCAUCUUGAUUUAAUUUUGAACGAGUGGCGGACGGGUGAGUAACACGUGGGUAACCUGCCCUUAAGUGGGGGAUAACAUUUGGAAACAGAUGCUAAUACCGCAUAAAUCCAAGAACCGCAUGGUUCUUGGCUGAAAGAUGGCGUAAGCUAUCGCUUUUGGAUGGACCCGCGGCGUAUUAGCUAGUUGGUGAGGUAACGGCUCACCAAGGCAAUGAUACGUAGCCGAACUGAGAGGUUGAUCGGCCACAUUGGGACUGAGACACGGCCCAAACUCCUACGGGAGGCAGCAGUAGGGAAUCUUCCACAAUGGACGCAAGUCUGAUGGAGCAACGCCGCGUGAGUGAAGAAGGCUUUCGGGUCGUAAAACUCUGUUGUUGGAGAAGAAUGGUCGGCAGAGUAACUGUUGUCGGCGUGACGGUAUCCAACCAGAAAGCCACGGCUAACUACGUGCCAGCAGCCGCGGUAAUACGUAGGUGGCAAGCGUUAUCCGGAUUUAUUGGGCGUAAAGCGAGCGCAGGCGGUUUUUUAAGUCUGAUGUGAAAGCCCUCGGCUUAACCGAGGAAGUGCAUCGGAAACUGGGAAACUUGAGUGCAGAAGAGGACAGUGGAACUCCAUGUGUAGCGGUGAAAUGCGUAGAUAUAUGGAAGAACACCAGUGGCGAAGGCGGCUGUCUGGUCUGUAACUGACGCUGAGGCUCGAAAGCAUGGGUAGCGAACAGGAUUAGAUACCCUGGUAGUCCAUGCCGUAAACGAUGAAUGCUAGGUGUUGGAGGGUUUCCGCCCUUCAGUGCCGCAGCUAACGCAUUAAGCAUUCCGCCUGGGGAGUACGACCGCAAGGUUGAAACUCAAAGGAAUUGACGGGGGCCCGCACAAGCGGUGGAGCAUGUGGUUUAAUUCGAAGCAACGCGAAGAACCUUACCAGGUCUUGACAUCUUUUGAUCACCUGAGAGAUCAGGUUUCCCCUUCGGGGGCAAAAUGACAGGUGGUGCAUGGUUGUCGUCAGCUCGUGUCGUGAGAUGUUGGGUUAAGUCCCGCAACGAGCGCAACCCUUAUGACUAGUUGCCAGCAUUUAGUUGGGCACUCUAGUAAGACUGCCGGUGACAAACCGGAGGAAGGUGGGGAUGACGUCAAAUCAUCAUGCCCCUUAUGACCUGGGCUACACACGUGCUACAAUGGAUGGUACAACGAGUUGCGAGACCGCGAGGUCAAGCUAAUCUCUUAAAGCCAUUCUCAGUUCGGACUGUAGGCUGCAACUCGCCUACACGAAGUCGGAAUCGCUAGUAAUCGCGGAUCAGCACGCCGCGGUGAAUACGUUCCCGGGCCUUGUACACACCGCCCGUCACACCAUGAGAGUUUGUAACACCCGAAGCCGGUGGCGUAACCCUUUUAGGGAGCGAGCCGUC